CACACACACUUUGUGAUCAGUGUUCUACAUCACAAAGUCAGAGUGCAAACUUUGACCAUGGAACUGAGCCAUCUAGGAAGUAAGCUGGUGACCUGAUUCACAGGACUGACUAACUACUUAGAAAUGGAAAGGGAACAUAUUGCAAAAUAAUCAGAACAGGUCAGGGUAUUCCUCUUAGCCUACUUAUCUAGGGACACCAACCAUAUUGCAUUUUACUAGAAAUAACCAAUAUCUAAAUUAAACAGUCCAGAGUGCAUGAAAUAUAUCAAUAAUGAACAUGUAUUUUAGAUGAAAGAACCAUAAGCAUUUAAUUAUCACAAAAAAGCAAAUGAAAAAGCAUCUCAAGACUAUGCUAACAAAGAGGCAGACACCACUCUGCAUUUUGAACAGGUUUCUAAAUCAAAAAGGGCAGUAAAUCAUGUUACUUAUCAUUUAAAAAUAACUAGGUUUUAAGAAAUGAAAUUAGACAAGUGAUUAAUGCGUCAACUUCAGCCAGAGUUCUUUUGAUAGUUGGGAGAAAAUAAAAGCCAGCCAAGAAAUAAACAUUUCAAAUUCAGGUGCUUUGCAAUCUGUGCUCCAAAUGUUUCCCCUGAGCUCAUGAAGAGGUGGCUUGCUCUGCAUACACAACAGCCAGAUUGCUGGCACCAGUAAAUUAUCUUCAGAAUAAGAGCGCUGGCACAAAAGAGGAGAAUCCACAGCCACCAUGGUCAAAAGUCCAUUUGAGAGAAACGGUCUUGAUAGUCAAAGGGCAGGACUAGGGGGAGUGCCACUGGCCAAAGGGGCGAGGUUGUCAAAGUGCUGUUGAGAGAGGGUUUCUGUUUGUUUUUCCUUGAGAUUUCCAUUUAUAUUGAGAAAACAAAGAUGGGUAGCAGAGUCUUCCAUAGUGAAAUUGAAAGAUGCCUAUGGCAGAGUAAGAAAAAAGUGGAAGUGACAGGACAGUGUGUACAGAGAGACACAAACGUUUGUGGUAGUUUGGAGCACACACCCUAGGAGCCCAACAGCUCAACCACUUGCAGGCUCUGUGGCCUUGAGCACUUUAACUCUAGAUAUCUCAGGUUUUCCUUCUGCAAAAUGGAAAUGAUACAAAUGGUAUCCACCCCACUGGGCUAUUAGGAGGAUUAGCACAUGGAAAACACAAAGAUUCUACAGAAUUACAUAGUAAGUGCUAUAGAUGUGUAAACUCUUAUUAUAGCAUGAUUUUUUUUUAAUUUUAUAAAACAAGCCAAAAAAAAAAAAAAAGCACUUUUUAAUAAUAAUCUAUAUAUUCUAGGGCCAGGACUAAGGUGAAAUGAACGAGGUAGGGGCACACCAGAAUUCACCUCAGCUACAAAGUUUAAGGGUUGCCAAAAAGGUCAGGAAUCAAGAUAAUAUUUCAAUGUAAUGUUUAAAAAAUCAAAGUAACGUGGAGUUCCCAUCAUGGCACAGCAGAAACGAAUCCGACUAGGAGCCAUGAGGUUGCAGGUUCAAUCCCUGGCCUCGCUCAGUGGGUUACAGAUCCAGCGUUGCCAUGAACUGUUGUGUAGGCCGGUGGCUACGGCUCCAAUUAGACCCCUAGUCUGGGAACCUCCAUACGCCGCGGGUGUGGCCCUGAAAAAGGACAAAAGACAAACAAAAACAAAAAACAAAAAACAAAAAAAAAAAACAAAGUAAUGCAAAAAAAAUCCAUGAUGAAAAAAAUGUCCAAAUUUUAAACAAAGACAAGAUCAGUAUUAUUGAUUUUUCCUUUUGCGUCAGGCUCCAGGAAUGGUGUUUAUUCACCCCACCUGGAAGGUUAUACCCCAAAUUUUUAUUUGUGGAGUAAGAAAUUACAUUGCUUAAUCUUCUAAAGUUAUCUAUAUAUUUUUAAUUUUUCACCAUGAGAAUAUAUAUAAUAAAAUAAAUUAGGAUUUUAAAAGUUUCAUUUCUUAAUGAAAUCUUGAAAGAAAAGCAUAGGAUGAUAUUAAAGUAGAUCUAGGCAAUCAAUUGAUUUAAAAAAAAAUUGAGGCCACACAGCCCACAAAGAAUCCACUGGCAAACCAUUCCCCUGCAUUGCAGAGCUUGUUCUAUAAAUCUACAAAAAGAAAUAAAGAAGAAGUUGGGGAUAUAAGAAAUAAGCUUAAAUUCCACUUAAGCUUACUGGGCCUCAUUUCCCCCUUUUGUAAAAGGAAGGGACUAGUGGGAAGCCCUUCAGCUGUACCACUUGAGGUUCUAACUAGCAUCUCCCUUGGACUGGGUGGGAAUUCUUCCUUGUCCUAUUUCCAAGGAAGACCCACCAGGCCUUGGACCUGCUGUCCUGUUCCAUCUUACCAGGUCCCAAAGCCUGGUAGCCCAAGAGCCCUGCAGAGCCCAUGUUUGUGAACUGCCCAUAUUUGGCAAAGGCUGAGGCAAGCAUGUGCCUCCAAGUCCAAAGACCAGAUGAUGCAUCCUGAAUUCCACCCAUACCCCGACUGCUAGACUUUGAAAUUGUCCCUUAACCUCUCUGACUCUGUUCCCUCAUCUCUAAGUGGAAAUAAAAACACUCACUUCAUAGGUUGGCUGUGAAGGUGAAAUGAGAGAAUACCUUUCAAGCAUUUAGUGCAGAUUCGGCUCUCAAUAGAUGUCUUUUCCUCCCCUUCUCCCUUCCCUGUGUGGCAAAAUUGAAACUAUUCCAAUGCAAUGGUCUCUUUGCCCUUUGAGAGAAAGAGAUUCAAGUCAAUGCCCAACAGCAAAUGAUGAAAAAAUGAUUGCGAUUUUCACUUUGAAGAAAUGUGUGUAGCUUCCCGUUUGUGGUAGAUUUCCCUGCUAAUCACAUAUCUUUUGAAUAAAUGUCAACAUUCUUUGACAUUUAAUGAACACACUGGCAAUCUGAGGUAAGUUAGGAAUCUGCUGGUAACAAAGGGGGGGGCGUGAUUAAUAACUUGAUAUGUUUAAACCCAUAAAGUAGAUCAAUAGAAUGUAGAUUGCCAGAAGUUAAGUUGAUAGUAACCCCUUUUCCAGUGAAGAGAAGGCACAACACUUCCCUAAAAUAGUUUAGCUUUCAAGAAAAUUUUGUAAAUCAAAAUAACAAAAAAAAGUGGGAUAGGACCAUAGGUUAUGAAACUUCACGGAAGAUUUUUUCAAAGACCAACAAUACACCACAACACACUGAAAAUGACCAAAGAAAGUUAACUGUAAACAUCAAAUCUCUCCACAUAUAUGUGGUCCAUUUCCCCUCAAUUUUUUGUUGUUCCUUUUUUUUAGAAUACUUUUAACUACAUUUAUGAAGAUUUUCAUCAGAAAAAUUAAAGGAAAAAGUUAAAAUGAUGCAUAAUCCUACUAUCUAGGUAGCUCUUGCUAACAUUUGAAUAAAGUAAGAAGCAAUGCUUCCACAUGAUUAGAAUAUUAAAUACAGAAAGGUGUAAAAGUAAAAUAGGAGUUUACCCUCAGCCACACUUCAGGCUCAUCCAGUGUUUUGCCCCAAAGUGAGUGUAAGAGUUCUCUGAAGGGCUUUACAGACAGAUUUUCAAAGCAGAUACCAGCCUCUAUCCAUCUUUCUUUUUCAUCCAGGUUGUGGGAUGAAUCAUGCUCCCUCCAAAUUCCUAUGCUGAAGCCCCAACUUCCAGUACCCCAGAAUGUGACUGUAUUUUGAGAAGGGGCCUUUAAAGAGGUAAUUAAGGUAAAAUGAGGCCCUUAGGAUGGGCUCUACUAUAGCCUGAUGUCCUUAUAAGACGAGGAAAUUAAGACCCACAAAGAGACACCAGGGCACACAUGGAAUAGCCACGUGAAGGGCAGCAGGAGGGUGGCCUUCAGCAAGCCAAGGAGGCCUCGGAGGAAACCAACUCUUCCAACACCUUGACCUUGGGCUUCCAGUCUCUGAACUGUGAGAUAAUAUAUGCCUGUUGUUUAAGUCACCUACUCUGUGGCAUUUUAUUAUGGGGCCCUAACAACCUAAUAUAACAUAUCAGUUUAUGCCUGUGAUAUUCCUGUAUCAGUGCUAACUGAUCCACGUCACCAGCUUAUCGCCAUCUCUUUCCAUUUUGCCCUUCUGAUUGACAUUCACAUUGACUUUGGGUUUAUGACUAACUCAAAUGAUACUGCAGUGAACACUCAUACUCUGAUAUCUUGGCAUAGUUUUGCAAGUAAGUGAAUUUCCAGAAGUGGAAUUGUUGGCUCAAAGUAUGAAAGCACACAUACUUAAUUUCAAUCGAUAUUGUCAAAUCGCCCUUCAAAAGUUUCCACUGCUACCGAAGGUGUAUAAAAGUGCCACUUUCCCCAGACUCUUGCCAGCACUAGAUAUAUCUAGCCUUUUCAUUUUCAUCAAUCCAGUGCCUAAAAAUCGGUGUAUUAUUCUAGCUUCUACCUAUGGAUAAGUCUGAGCAUCUCAGAGAGUUUUUAAGAACACAGACUCAGGAGCCAGAUCCUGAGUUUGAAUUCUGGAGCUGCCUUUUCCUAGCUGUAUGAUCUUGGCCAAGUUGCCUAACUUCUCUAUGCAUCAGGCUCCUCUUCUGUCAGGAUAGCAGGGGAAACUAGCUUGCCAUAGACUUCCUAUAAGAACUUCAUGAGUAAGAGAUGUCAAGUGCUUAGAACAAUGCUUGGAAUAUGGUAAUCUUCAAAUUAUUGUUAUCAAUUAUUGUUUUUAUUAAAAAAUUAAUAAUACAUGCUAAUUACUUGUAUUACUCUUUGUGUGACUGCUCUGUGUUACAGACUGAAUGUUUAUGUCCCCGCCCCCAAAACUCAUAUGUUGGAGCACUAACCUCCAGAGUGGCUGAACUUGAAAUGAGACCUCUAAGGAAGUAAUUAAGGUUAAAGGAGGUCAUAACGGUGCGGCCCUGAUCUGAUCAAACUAGCAUCCUUAUAAGAUGAGACACCAGAAAGUUCUUUCUCUCCCCAUGCUUAAACAAAGAAGAGAACAUCUGAGUACACAGUGAGAUGGUGACCACCUAGGGGCCAAGGGAAGAGGCCUCAGAAUUAAACAUCCUGUGCUGGCACCUUGGUCUCAGGUUUCCUAGCCUCCUGAACUGUGAGAAAUAAAUUUCCACCAAGUCUGUGGUAUUUUGUUACGGCAGCCCAAGCAGACUAAGACACACUGUUUACAUCUUUUACCCAUAUUUCUGUCCAAUGAAUCUCUUUCUUGUUGUGGAGUUCCCGUCGUGGCGCAGUGGUUAACGAAUCCGACUAGGAACCAUGAGGUUGCGGGUUCGGUCCCUGCCCUUGCUCAGUGGGUUAAUGAUCCGGCAUUGCCGUGAGCUGUGGUGUAGGUUGCAGACGCGGCUUGGAUCCCGCGUUGCUGUGGCUCUGGCGUAGGCCUGUGGCUAUAGCUCCGAUUCAACCCCUAGCCUGGGAACCUCCAUAUGCCGCGGGAGCGGCCCAAGAAAUAGCAACAACAACAA
rnacentral:lncRNA from 1 species